UACAGAGGGUGCAAGCGUUGUUCGGAAUUAUUGGGCGUGAAGGGAGUGUAGGCGGUUUGAAAAGUCCUCUGUGAAAUCUACGGGCUUAGCCUGUAAAGUGCAGAGGAUACUAUCAGGCUUGAGUAUCGGAGAGGAUAGGGGAAUACCCAGUGUAGAGGUGAAAUUCGUAGAGAUUGGGUGGAACACCAGUGGCGAAGGCGCCUAUCUGGCCGAUAACUGACGCUGAGACUCGAAAGCAUGGGGAGCAAACAGG
rnacentral:rRNA from 1 species